CGCAUGGCUGGAGAGCGUCAUUACUAUCUUGUUUUACGUUUGGUAGGGUUUCGUUGUGUAUCGCUGACUGUUCUGGAACUCACGAUGCGGAUUAGGCUGGCCUCGAACUCAGAGGAGGGAAGAGAGAACAAAAAACCAUUUACAUAACAAGGAAACUCUAUUCAGUAGCCAAGGCACAAAGGCACGGCUCUAUGACUUUUCAAAUUGUUAACUUUAUUUAAAUUGAAAAAUAUUUCUCAAAACUGCAUUUAGCGUCAAGUUCGUUGAUGGAAAUCACCAGUAUUUGCAAGGCAGAAACAUGUUAAAAAACCAGUUUUUACUUUGGAGCUUUUUUUUUUUCCCGGUUUUUCCGAGAUGGAGCUUAUUCUUUAAGCAAAUUGUGGAGAAUGGAGAGAAAAAGUGGGUUAUUUACAGAAGAUAUCUACAUAUUUUAAUAUUUAAUACUCAGGUAUAAACUUGGUGACAGAAAA